AUUGAACGCUGGCGGCAGGCCUAACACAUGCAAGUCGAGCGGUAGAGAGAAGCUUGCUUCUCUUGAGAGCGGCGGACGGGUGAGUAAUGCCUAGGAAUCUGCCUGGUAGUGGGGGAUAACGUUCGGAAACGGACGCUAAUACCGCAUACGUCCUACGGGAGAAAGCAGGGGACCUUCGGGCCUUGCGCUAUCAGAUGAGCCUAGGUCGGAUUAGCUAGUUGGUGAGGUAAUGGCUCACCAAGGCGACGAUCCGUAACUGGUCUGAGAGGAUGAUCAGUCACACUGGAACUGAGACACGGUCCAGACUCCUACGGGAGGCGGCAGUGGGGAAUAUUGGACAAUGGGCGAAAGCCUGAUCCAGCCAUGCCGCGUGUGUGAAGAAGGUCUUCGGAUUGUAAAGCACUUUAAGUUGGGAGGAAGGGCAGUUACCUAAUACGUGAUUGUUUUGACGUUACCGACAGAAUAAGCACCGGCUAACUCUGUGCCAGCAGCCGCAGUAAUACAGAGGGUGCAAGCGUUAAUCGGAAUUACUGGGCGUAAAGCGCGCGUAGGUGGUUAGUUAAGUUGGAUGUGAAAUCCCCGGGCUCAACCUGGGAACUGCAUUCAAAACUGACUGACUAGAGUAUGGUAGAGGGUGGUGGAAUUUCCUGUGUAGCGGUGAAGUGCGUAGAUAUAGGAAGGAACACCAGUGGCGAAGGCGACCACCCGGACUGAUACUGACACUGAGGCGCGAAAGCGUGGGGAGCAAACAGG
rnacentral:rRNA from 1 species